AGCAAGCUCUCCAGACCCUUUUGCUGAUUUACCGGCCUUAGGAGCCGGAUGUGAAUUGUAUUUGGAAGAUCCCAUUAAACGUAAAGUUGCACGUGGGACAGUUUACAAGGCCGAAAGGGUUCACGGGAUACAAAUACAUGCGGAUCAAGUGAAGGUCACCGUGACUGAAAUUCUCGUGUCAAGUGUAAAGGUACCCUUCCCUACCGAUGAGGUUCAACUGUUAAGGGAUGCAUUGCACAACUUUAUUAUUUGGCCAAAGAAGUUGGUUGAGUUGUAUACCGAAGCUGAUGAGCUGAUCCGACUUCUUUGAGUCCUCGAUGUCUAA